rnacentral:rRNA from 1 species
CCUACGGGGGGCAGCAGUAGGGAAUAUUGCUCAAUGGGGGAAACCCUGAAGCAGCAACGCCGCGUGGAGGAUGAAGGUUUUCGGAUUGUAAACUCCUUUUGUUAGAGAAGAUAAUGACGGUAUCUAACGAAUAAGCACCGGCUAACUACGUGCCAGCAGCCGCGGUAAUACGUAGGGUGCAAGCGUUACUCGGAUUCACUGGGCGUAAAGAGCGCGUAGGCGGGAUAGCAAGCCAGAUGUGAAAUCCUAGGGCUUAACCAUAGAACUGCAUUUGAAACUGUUAGUCUAGAGUAUGGGAGGGGUAGGUGGAAUUCUUGGUGUAGGGGUAAAAUGCGUAGAGAUUAAGAGGAAUACUCGUUGCGAAGGCGACCUGCUAGAACAUAACUGACGCUGAUGCGCGAAGGCGUGGGGUGCAAACAGGAUUAGAUACCCUUGUAGUC